AGAACUUAGCAGAGAUGCUUUGGUGCCUUCGGGAACUCUGAGACAGGUGCUGCAUGGCUGUCGUCAGCUCGUGUUGUGAAAUGUUGGGUUAAGUCCCGCAACGAGCGCAACCCUUAUCCUUUGUUGCCAGCGGCUCGGCCGGGAACUCAAAGGAGACUGCCGGUGAUAAACCGGAGGAAGGUGGGGAUGACGUCAAGUCAUCAUGGCCCUUACGGCCAGGGCUACACACGUGCUACAAUGGCGCAUACAAAGAGAAGCGACCUCGCGAGAGCAAGCGGACCUCACAAAGUGCGUCGUAGUCCGGAUUGGAGUCUGCAACUCGACUCCAUGAAGUCAGAAUCGCUAGUAAUCGUAGAUCAGAAUGCUACGGUGAAUACGUUCCCGGGCCUUGUACACACCGCCCGUCACACCAUGGGAGUGGGUUGCAAAAGAAGUAGGUAGCUUAACCUUCGGGAGGGCGCUUACCACUUUGUGAUUCAUGACUGGGGUGAAGUCGUAACAAGGUAGGCGUAGCGAG
rnacentral:rRNA from 1 species